CUGGGCAGGGCUCCAUGUAAAACAGACUCAUGGAGGCUGGUAUAGGAGUCUGACUGAAUAGGAAACCAGUAUCUAAAACUUUGUAUUUUCAAGCCAAUCAAUGUUGGCUCAUAUGUUGAUCUCUCCUGAGAGCUUUGUGUUUUGUUUUGGGAGGGUUUCAUUCAGGCCCCCCUGCUGCCUGCAGGACAAUAAUAACUAUCAACAGCUCCAACUUUAGCUUUCGUAGGUAGGCAAAUACUGUGAAGUGAACAAUUAGUUUCCGUUCUCACUCAAUGACAACAGACCAUUCAGAAAUACCUUUGUUAUGAAGUUCAAGAGCACGCACGCACACACACACACACACACACACACACACACACAUACAGGGGCCUGUCAUUUAGUUCCAUAACAACUAUCAUGUAUCUGCCAUGCUUAAGACCACUGAACACCCCUCCCCCCUUCCAAAUAGUUCUGUCACCAGAGGUUGUCGUCCUGGCAACCUAAUAACGUUUCCAAAUUGAAAGUCUUUGUUCAGCCAAUGGCAGCCUGGCUAGAUCUUGAAUGAAUGGAGAGGAGAAAUAAGAGUCGCAGCUCCAGGAAACAGAGAGAGACGGCGAGGGAGGGAGGGAGGGAGGAGUGUAAAGUUGUGAAACAGGUCAUCCACAUCGCAGUCAGGCCUCAUUUGGCCUCCAUAAUGAAGCGACCCCGGACAAACCCCUCCAUCUUUGUUCCCCUGAACAAUGGCUGUGCACUGAGAGAGAGAAUCAUCUAACACAUGAAGUCCGUGCGGUCAGCUGGGCUCAACAGGCUGGACCGGGGGGGGGGGGGGUUAAAACUGCUUUAACUUUUCACAUCAUCAGACUGUUGAUCUGCACGUUCAGUAGUUACACUGGUCCAACAGUGAGGCUCCUCGCUGCCUGUUGUCAGUGGAAACGGUUGGUUUAGUUUCAAUUCGAUCGCUCGAAUCAGUCAGACACCAAGUCCCUCUUCUAUUCAGGUGUGUGGCUUAUUCUAGGAAACUGUUUUCUAAUGACCUGUUAACAGGUGUGUGUGUGUGUGUGUGUGUGUGUGUGUGUGUGUGUGUGUGUGUGUGUGUGUGUGUGUGUGUGUGUGUGUGUGUGUGUGUGUGUGUGUGUGUGUGUGUGUGUGUGUGUG